CGGGUGAGUAACACGUGACUAACCUACCUCCUGAGUGGGGAAUAACUUCUGGGAAACCUGAGGCUAAUACCGCAUAACACUUACGAGUCAAAGCAGCAAUGCGCUUGGAUGAGGGGGUCGCGGCAGAUUAGCUUGUUGGUGGGGUAAUGGCCCACCAAUGCGAUGAUCUGUAUCCGGCCUGAGAGGGCGCACGGACACACUGGAACUGAAACACGGUCCAGACUCCUACGGGAGGCAGCAGUGGGGAAUUUUGCGCAAUGGGGGAAACCCUGACGCAGCAACGCCGCGUGGAGGAUGAAGUCUCUUGGGACGUAAACUCCUUUCGAUCGGGACGAUUAUGACGGUACCGGAAGAAGAAGCCCCGGAUAACUUCGUGCCAGCAGCCGCGGUAAUACGAGGGGGGCAAGCGUAUGUUCGGAAUUAUUGGGCG
rnacentral:rRNA from 1 species